GGUUGUGGCUCAAGUGAUAAGAGCAUCUGCUUAGCAAGCACAUGGACCUGAGUUCAAACCCAGUACCACCA
rnacentral:tRNA from 1 species